rnacentral:rRNA from 1 species
CCUAUAUCCAGACAAACGUCAGCCGAAUCUAUGACGGUUCUAAGGUAGCUUAAUUCCUUGUCGGUUAGUUUUCGACCUGCAUCAAAGUUUGAACAAUUUACCUUAUGUCACC